rnacentral:lncRNA from 1 species
UCCCCCUCCUCUCAAUCACAUAAGGAACUAAUGUAGAGGGCACUAAGAACCCCUAUGAGAGGUUCUAAGCGCACACCCCCCUGCAUACCCUUUAAAAAAAAAUUGAAUAUCUAGAUCUAGGCCAUUUCAAUGAAUUUCAGCCUAGGAUCUUGCUGAAAUCAGGUAAUGCAGCUCCUCUCACUUCUUUUAUGUAUUUUUCUUUUAUUUUGGGACCAAGAAUUGAAAAAAGGGUGAGGCCAUGUUAAAUUUUUGCAUUUUGGUGUCAAUUAAUGAUAUGUUGUAGAUCUAGGGAAUAUCUACAUUAUGACAUCAAGAUCAUAAGUUUUUAUUGAAUC